AGAGCGAACGCUGGCGGCAGGCUUAACACAUGCAAGUCGAGCGGGCGUAGCAAUACGUCAGCGGCAGACGGGUGAGUAACGCGUGGGAACAUACCUUUUGGUUCGGAACAACACAGGGAAACUUGUGCUAAUACCGGAUAAGCCCUUACGGGGAAAGAUUUAUCGCCGAAAGAUUGGCCCGCGUCUGAUUAGCUAGUUGGUGAGGUAACGGCUCACCAAGGCGACGAUCAGUAGCUGGUCUGAGAGGAUGAUCAGCCACAUUGGGACUGAGACACGGCCCAAACUCCUACGGGAGGCAGCAGUGGGGAAUAUUGGACAAUGGGCGCAAGCCUGAUCCAGCCAUGCCGCGUGAGUGAUGAAGGCCCUAGGGUUGUAAAGCUCUUUUGUGCGGGAAGAUAAUGACGGUACCGCAAGAAUAAGCCCGGCUAACGUUCGCGCCAGCAGCCGC
rnacentral:rRNA from 1 species